UAGUCAUGAUGUGGACAUGAAUUCAAGAUAUCCUUGAAUCUCUCCCAACUUUCGAAAAAUGUUUCUUCCUCUUUUGGGGAGAAAUUCGUGAUCGUCCUCCUUAAGGUA